UGGGGUGAAACAGAGCUGCUGGGCAGUGGGGAUAAAUGGAAAGAAUAGGAAGCGACUGCGCUGGGCACUGGGAAGCACAGACUGGUCCCAUAUGGAAAGUGUGUGGCUGUUUGGAACUGAAUGGAGGGGUGCUGGGCACUGCUUGGUCACCACUGCCUGCAGAGGGAGAAACAGGAUAGCAAGUGUCAUCUAACGCUGCCUAGGGCAGGGUGCAGGUAGAACACCUCCUGAGCUCCAGCCCUGUCUGCUGGGAUGGGUUCUCUGUGCUUCUGCCUCCUCAGCAGAGACUAAACCAGGAGCAUGGGGGUUCUUUAGGAAUUUACCCCAAAGAACUGGUGGUUCCUUGGAGCACCAGGGGUGAGUGUGCUGGUGCUCAAGCCUCUCCUGUGGACCUUUGUGUUGCCACAAGCAGCCAUGUAGCUCCUGAACAUUCAGUUCCUAAAAGUGAGCGUAGUUAUUCCAAAUGAUGUGUGUUGGAAGUAAACGUUAACUAGUAUUAACUGUUAUGUUUGUUUUGUACUGUGGUGGGACAUCAGUCACGCAGUUUCUCACAGCUCAAGGUCUCCUAAGACCAACAAUCGAGGACACGUGGUGGAGUGACCACAGAUCCACUGAAUCCCAGGGGAUCUCUAAAGGACAGGCUUUUUGAGCAAAGGAGCAGGUGCCAUGGAAGCCCUGGUCAGCUGUGUGCACAUCUGGAGCAAGGUCUGGCAGAGGUGGUGGUAUAAGGAGUGCCCAAGGCGCUGUGCCCUCCGGAAUAAGCGCACUGCAAGGUUUCAUUUUGAAAAUGCUUUAAUAAGGAAGUGUUGACACCACCGUUCUGCAAAAUGUAAAGGUAACUAUACAAAUUCUUAAUACAAAAAGAAUAAAUUAAAAGCAGAUCUGUUUUAAUUCUGCAACUUUUUCUACAACAUCCAUAUUUUUUUGCCUUGAUUACAGUUGAACAGAAUCCAGUCAAAUCAUUUUCCAUGCUCUAAAGUCAAUUUCAGGAGAGACCUAAUGGUUUUUUUCCUUAUUUUUCCUUCUUUUUUAUUUUUUUUUUAAACUAGAGAGUCCAUUUUACACAACUCGUAAUAAAACUAUUGACAUUAAUAUAUAUGUAAAACUUUACAUCUAGUUAACUAAGCAGUAACUGGUCAUCUGAUAGCACCUGAAUGGGGAUCGGCUAUGCCUGAAACUAAAACUAAUACAGAGUGAAAACAAAUGGGACUGUUUCAACAUCUUCAACACUCGACUGCAUAUAGGAUGAUGGCAAAAUAAACCCUGCCUCCCUCCAGCACGGCCCAGCGCGGGAUUAGCUCUCGGCUGAGCAUCAGACACGUAGACUCGGAACGCGAUUGUGGCUUUAUGUCGGAUGGAGCCUUGGAAAACAAAAAGGGACAGGAGGGGUUAAGUUGGUAGUCAAGUGCUUGUCUAUAAUAGCUAUGUAUAUACCCCUCCGCGUUAUACUUAAAUAUGUUAAUCUCAUCUGAUUAACAUUUUAUGUACAUUUGUGUUUUAAUUGAAUUGAGCUAAACAGUAAAACCUGUUUUACUUUAAUCUGUCUUUACUACCAGACUGGCUGCUCACGUGUGCCUCGACUGCGGAACAGAAAAGCAGAACACAAAGCAAAACUCAAUCUGUUUCUAGGAAGCUUUUUUCUCUACUCGAGCCCCUUUGCAAUUCAGGCCAAGCACUGGAUUCCUCUUUACACCUAAGUUCAGGGCUGCCACCUUUUCACCUGUGCUGCAAAACUGCAGAGCUGGUCUUGGAGGAAUUAACAGUUCUUCCUGUAGUGCCCAGAGGCCUCAUAGCGCCGCUGCUGUUGAAUUCUUUUUAAUUAAGAGAAGGUACACAGAGAAAACAGAAACCAA